GACGGAAGGUGCAAGCGUUGUUCGGAAUUACUGGGCGUAAAGGGCGCGUAGGCGGCCUGGCAAGUGGAAGGUGAAAUCCCUCGGCUUAACCGAGGAACUGCCCUCCAAACUGCUUGGCUUGAGUCCGGGAGAGGUGAGUGGAAUUCCCAGUGUAGCGGUGAAAUGCGUAGAUAUUGGGAGGAACACCAGUGGCGAAGGCGGCUCACUGGACCGGAACUGACGCUGAGGCGCGAAAGCGUGGGGAGCAAACGGG
rnacentral:rRNA from 1 species